UGGCAAUAAGAAGAAAGCUUCGGAUUGAUAGGGACACAACCAUACCUGAAAAAUACAAAGAAGUUCUCCUUGUAUUUUUCAUUUAGUUGCAUGUAUUCCUAUCAAUCCGAAGUUUUGCUUGUGUCUUCAU